UACGAAGGGGGGCUAGCGUUGCUCGGAAUCACUGGGCGUAAAGCGCACGUAGGCGGCUUUUUAAGUCAGGGGUGAAAUCCUGGAGCUCAACUCCAGAACUGCCUUUGAUACUGAGAAGCUUGAGUUCGGGAGAGGUGAGUGGAACUGCGAGUGUAGAGGUGAAAUUCGUAGAUAUUCGCAAGAACACCAGUGGCGAAGGCGGCUCACUGGGACGGUACUGACGCUGAGACGCG
rnacentral:rRNA from 1 species